UGGAGCAGUCAUUUUCCGUUCUUAUUCAUAAAUCGGUUGAAAAUUACAUGGGACAGACAAGCUUAUUUGUGGAGCGAUCUGGAUCUGCGGUUUGUCUCAUUUUAUAAAUCAAAUUACAUCGCUGGGAAAAUGAGUAGCAUCUGCCUACAAAAACGGAGGCUGCAUUUUCAGGAACGCAGUCCUAGGACCGCAUUUCUAGGACCCUAGGUUUUUAGUGACAACGCCACCUACCGAAUUAGAGGACCAGCGAAGAUGGAUGACAGUCAGAGUUGAAGAGGAAGAAUUGAAUAGGGUGAUAGAGAAACAACUGAGAAAAGAGGGGAGAGCAUCCAGGUGGAGUCAGUGAAGACGUCGUCCAUGAAGUUCUUUCUAUGUGGUUCACGUCAUGAACAAAUUUGUUUUUGUGUGUGUUCAAGUUCAACUGUUGUAAUAUAUUAUUUUAGAAAAUAUACACAAUCUUAA